rnacentral:rRNA from 1 species
AAUGUGGAUCUUCCAAAUUUUGCUUCGAGAAUCAAUUGGAGGGCAAGUCUGGUGCCAGCAGCCGCGGUAAUUCCAGCUCCAAUAGCGUAUAUUAAAGUUGUUGCAGUUAAAAAGCUCGUAGUUGUUGGGGUUGGGAAAUUUGAAGAAUCUUCACUGGUCUUCAGACUUCCUAAAAGCUGUUUCAAUCGGCUUUGUGUUACUUUGAGAAAAUUUGAGUGUUCAUCUCGGGCAAAUUGCUUACAUAAUGUACCAUGGAAUAACUCUGUGGCCCUAAUUCUGUCUUUUGGCUUACAUUAUUGGGGUUCGUGGUUGAAAGGAAUAGUUGGGGGCAUUCGUACUGAACAGUUAGAGGUGAAAUUCUUAGAUUUGUUCAAGACGAACCAGUGCGAAAGCAUCUGCCAAGGAUGUUUUCAUUAAUCAAGAACGAAAGUUAGGGGAUCGAAGACGAUCAGAUACCGUCGUAGUCUUAACUGUAAACAAUGCCGACUAGAGAUCGGUGGAAUUCGAAUUGGAAUCCUUCGGCAUCUACAGAGAAAUCAAAGUUCUUGGGUUCUGGGGGGAGUAUGGUCGCAAGGCUGAAACUUAAAGGAAUUGACGGAAGGGCACCACCAGGAGUGGAGCCUGCGGCUUAAUUUGACCCAACACGGGAAAACUUACCAGGUCCGGACAUAGGUAUGAUUGACAGACUGAGAGCUCUUUCUUGAUUCUAUGGGUGGUGGUGCAUGGCCGUUCUUAGUUGGUGGAUUGAUUUGUCUGGUUGAUUCCGACAACGAACGAGACCUUUACUUUCUAAUUAGAUCCAAGACAUACGUGUUUCCUGGGUCGCCUUAGCAGAACUUUGUGCGUUGCAGCACAAUGAAGCACAGGCAAUAACAGGUCUGUGAUGCCCUUAGAUGUUCUGGGCUGCACGCGUGCUACAAUGAAACUUACCAUAAGUUGCGAUGUCGAAAAGCUAUGCAAAUCUUUGAAUGCGUUUCGUGACAGGGACAGUUGAUUGUAAUUUUUCGACUCGAACGAGGAAUUCCUUGUAAUCGUGAUUCAUCAUAUCGCGCUGAAUACGUCCCUGCCCUUUGUACACACCGCCCGUCGCUCCUACCGAUUGGGCGAUCCGGUGAAUUAUUUGGAGUUUUGACGAUUUCUUUCGGAAACCUGCCAAUUCAAAUUUUUGU